UACGUAGGGUGCAAGCGUUGUCCGGAAUUAUUGGGCGUAAAGAGCUCGUAGGCGGUUUGUCGCGUCUGCUGUGAAAACCCGAGGCUCAACCUCGGGCCUGCAGUGGGUACGGGGCAGACUAGAGUGCGGUAGGGGAGAUUGGAAUUCCUGGUGUAGCGGUGGAAUGCGCAGAUAUCAGGAGGAACACCAAUGGCGAAGGCA
rnacentral:rRNA from 1 species